rnacentral:lncRNA from 1 species
ACACUAUUUUUUAGCCGAAGAGAAUAAUAAAUGAUAUAAUUUUGAAUCGUUUUCUCACCAUCAUCGCGCUAUUCAACCAAAACAGGCCCGAGAGCCUCGCCGCGGCGCGGUUUCUUAACGUGGACAUGAUUGCAGCCUGCAGGUGCCACGCAUUUUCAAGUUUCAUCACUGCAAAGAAAAACGCAUGAAUUCUAUCUAACGCGUCUCCUGGAGCGUGCAUGUGAGACUAAAAGCACCCACCACGACGUUGGUUGCCCUGUGCCGCCGGUAUCCCUGCCCUGCUGGUCUCUUCCCCCCCCACUCGUACGGACAUGCCAUGGUGGGCAAUACCGGGGAAGCCGUUCGUUGUGUAACGAGCGCUGCGCCGCAGCGGGGACGCGACGGAGACACACAGACUGCUUGUCCCAUACAGGGUCAUGGGGAACCAGAUCCUACCCAGCAACACAGGGCAUAAGGCCAGAGGGGGAGGGGACACACCCAGAACAGAACGCCAGUCUGUCACAAGGCACCCCAAGCAGGACUCGAACCCCAGACCCACCGGAGAGCAGGAGUGUGGUCCAACCCACUGCGCCACCGCACCCCCUAUUACUAGUAACACUUUGGCCCCAAACCCUGACGUUAACUGGGC